AUCCAGCUGACGAGUCACAAACAUGAUGGAAUACACGUCCUGGAU
rnacentral:hammerhead_ribozyme from 1 species